rnacentral:lncRNA from 1 species
UUUUUUUUUUUUUCCUUGAACUGUGCCCUGAAGGGUUUCCUCUCAUCCCUCUAUAGUAAGAGCCCUUUGACAGCCAGACCUCCGCAGGGCCUGGCUCUGCCUUGGACUUGCUGGUUUUGACCAGGCUGGUCUGGCUGGAUUCAGUCUGCACAUCCAUAACUGGAAGUUAUCACUUUUUCACGUGCCAAGAGCGCCUGAGUUAUUGUAAGACUCAAAUGAGACAAUAGGUAUGUGAGAGAACUCAACAGAGAUUUAUUGUGGGCUGGCUGUGUACGUGGAGCUGCGCUAAAUGAUGGUAAUUCAAAGAAAAUCCACCAACCGAUGUACCAACACACUUACCAACCAACCAACCAGCCAGCCAACCAACCACCCAAUACACCAACCAAAUUACUAGCCAACCAACCAACCAACAUACCACUGGAAUUACCAACUACCCAACCAAACAACCAAAUUACAAACGAACCAACCAAUGUAUCAUCCAAAUUAUCAACCAGCCAGCCAAUCUACCAACCAACCAACCAGCCAGAUCGUGGAGGCUACCAUCUUGCUGGGGAGUGUUCUGCACUGAAAAACCCCCAAAGUUGUGAUACAGCCCUCAGAAACACACUAACCAAGGGGAAACGUGACAGAGCUAAGUGACAGGUUAUUCAAAGGGAAGUGUUAGCACAAGCAUCAAGGUCCGAUGGCGAUCGCCCAGGUGAAGUCUCAGAUCAAGAUGCACGUUUCCAAAGGGAGACCGAGCCGCGUCGGGAGAAGCUGGCGCACCAGGAUUCCUGGAGCGAGGGAAGCGAAGCAACCAGUAGGGAGAUAUGCCCACUGCUGGAGAGUGGCCUCCGCGGGAAGAAGUGGCAGGAGCUGCCUCUGCCUGUGAACCAGGCCGAGGGAGAGAGCAGCCAGCUUAGGAAGGACGGUGUCCAGUGGUGACCUAAGGAGUCAUGAGCCUUUGGAACAACAGACAUCAUCCAGGGGCAGCAGAAGAGCUUUUCUCACUGGAUACAUUUGAAAGGGGCGACAGGAGGCAAAAUAAAGCUACCUCGUGGCCGUGGCCGCACCCUGUGAAUCCUGCAUCCUCCUCGCCCCAGGCAUCAGCUUGUGAACACCCUGAAGAUGAGGGAGCAGGCAGACUGCCACUGACUCACUGCCCUGUGGCCUUGAAGGUCUCUGCUCUUCUCUGUGCCUGCCUUUCCCCAUCUGGGAGAUGAGCGAGGGGCGGCCUGGACUGGAGGGCCCCAGCCCCCACAUUGGUGCACUCUGCCCUCGCACUGCGGUGGGGGGGAGGAGGAGGAGGAAGGAACUAGACCCCACGCGGGUGGGUCCUGUUUGAUGAUGGUCAUGAGCAGGCGGUGGGGCUGAGGUCUCACCCAGGCAGGUGGGGGAGCCUUUUGGAGGAAGUGACCUGGCGCCAGUGGAAGGUGAACCUGCGGGUCCUGGGGGAGAAGUUUCCGGUAAAGGAUAUGAGGUGAGCGUCUGGAGGUGGGGGUGACUAGGGUGCUGGGAAGGGGGCAGAGGGCAGGGCCUUGAAGGCCGAGACGAGGGCUGGUUCUGGCUCUGGGUGAGUUGACGUGAUGGGGGUGGUGAAAUGGACAGCACCCACGGCCUGAACCCAGCCAGAACCCAGAGUGGGACUCCAACCCAGCCUGAAGCCAGAUUGGGACUUGAACCCACAGUUUUAUUUUAUUUUAUUUAUUUUAUUUUUGUCUUUUCCAAGGCUGUACUUGCGGCAUGUUGAGGUUCCCAGGCUAGGGGUUCAGUUGGAGCUGUUGCCACCAGCCCAUACCACAGCCACAGCAAUGGGGGAUCCCAGCCGCGUCUGUGACCUACAUCACAGCUCAUGGCAAUGCCAGAUCCUUAACCCACUGAGCAAGGCCAGGGAUUGAACCCGCAACCUCAUGGUUCCUAGUCGGAUUCGUUAACCACCGAGCCGUGAAGGGAACCCUCUGAACCCACAGUUUUAAAUUAGAAUCACAAACCCUGUGUCUGGACUCACUGGGGUUCAGGUUCCUUGUGCCUCAGCGCAGAAGGAAUUCAGCGAGAGACAAAGUGAUAGGCAAGAAAUAGAUUUAUUCAGAUAGAACGCUUGUGAGAGAUGCAAGCAGGCAGGCGAGAAAGCCCUGGGAUCAGGUGGGCUACAGGUGGGCUAUGGUUUUAUCCUCCAAGGGGAGUGGGAGUUGGAAAAUGCGCCUCUUCUUCUUUCUUGGUAGCUCCUCCUUCUUAUCUGGUAAGGUGUGUAUUCAAAUCAGCUGAAGGAUGGUCCUCAAACUCCCGCCCUGGGUCUGAGUCUGAAUGCAGGCCUCAUCCCAUCCCCACCGGACGACCUGAGGCAGUUCUCACCUCCACUAGUCAAGCAAGCCUGCCUGGUUCUGACGGCUUUCUUGAGCAAUUGUUAACUUACGGUGGUCUCCCAGCAUCCUCUAGGUUUCUCUAUCUGUGGUCCCUCACUGGGUCGCCUGCAACCACCUGUGUCUCCAUCCCUAUCCGGGCAGAAGAGGGCAAAUCUGACUUUGGGGUGAGGGGAUAAUCCAGGUGAGUGGCGAGGCUCUUGCUGUGUCUCCAGCUGGGUCCUGAGCAGCACCCAGUGCAAGGGGGCUGGUCCCCCCCAACACCUCGUCAUCUAAGGGGGAACACCUUGGUCAGAUGCAGGAGUCCUCUUAGACCAAGGGACACCAGGGUGGCAGCUGCUUUGAGGAAGAGCAGUGAGACAGAGCAGUAAGGAGCAUUAAAAAGCCUCCCGCCUUAGACACUUACCGUGGGCCACACAGGGAUUCAAAUCUUCGUGUGGGUCGUGCUCGCAACAGGGCCGGAAGGUGGGGCCCACCAGGGUCCCAUUUUACAGUUGGGGACACUGAGGCCCUCAGAGGUCUCAUGGCCCGUAAGAAAUGGAGGGGGAUUUGAGCUCAGGUGUCCCCAGCAGUAAGCCCAGCCACCACCCCCCCCCACUUUCUGAGCAAGGAAAUCACAAGAAAAUGACCAUGGGGGAGGCGUUGGUUUUUGUUUUGAGCCCUGACCCCUCUGGCUAGAUGGGGGCUUUUUUUCUUUUCUUUUCUUUUUUUCUUUAUAGGGCUGAACUCAUGGCAUAUGGAAGUUCUACACCACAGUCAUAGCAAUGCUAGAUCCGAGCUGUGUCUGUGACCUACACUGCAGCUCAUGGCAACGCCAGAUCCUUAACCCACUGAGCCAGGCCAGGGAUCGAACCUGCUUCCUCAUGGAUGCUAGUCAGACUCGUUUCCGCUGAGCCAUGAUGGGAACUCCUACAAAGCCUUACUAUAAAGCUCAGAGUUGGAUUUUACUUGUGUCCAUUUUGCAGAUGGGGCAACCGGUACAGGGAGGGAAACGGCCAAGGCGUAGCUGGAUCCAUACCCAGCCACCCAUGCUUUCCCGAUUCCCAAGGACCAGCGGUGCAUAUGCGAAGUUUGUGUUUUCUCCUCAUUUUAAUGGUACAUAACCUUCUGAAGGGACUCGUUGUUCAUGAAUAUUGGCCGGGUGCCCGAGUGCUAUAUGGGAUUCGUUUAAACUCGGGCUCUGGCAAAUUUGAUUUUUACUGAAAAUUACCCAUUUUUUAACAUUUAAAAUGUUAUCGAGCCAUGUGGCCAUUGCCGUCUUGGGCAGAAAACAUCUUGGAUGAAUUUGCAUUUUUAAUUCUUGGCAUUUUUAUUUUGCUUCAGUUCCCAAAGAGCAUUUUUUUUUUCUUCCUUAAAAAAAAAAAAAAAAAAAA